rnacentral:lncRNA from 1 species
CGUCCGUUUCACAUGCCAAACUUUUUUGGUCUGAAGCUUUAUCAAGGUGAAUUGUACCGUGUCUCCCCUUUUCAGGUCUGUCAUUCGUCUACUUCCUGUUUGGCGGGGGCAUCUGUGUCUCAUAGACACAUUUUCUCUGUUUUCUAUUACAGUUUAUACAGGAAAAUUUUGUUGACAAUUUUUUUUUCAUAUGACAAAAUAUUGAGGCAGCAGAUUUUUUAAGUCAAAAUCAGGGUCAGAAUAUUGUUUUCUAAAAACUACCAGGCCCCUUCCUCCAUGAAAAUUAAAUGGUCCGUGGCAAAAAUAAAAAAUUCCCACAUGUUCAACUUCAAAAUUUGACCAGAUUCUAUUCUUAACUGUCGGAUAAUAUACUAG